AGGGUCUGUUUGAUUGGUCAUGCAAGAAGCAAACAACAGUUAGCUUAAGUACUUGUGAAGCCGAACUGAAUGCACUGUCUUAUUCACUUAAGGAUUGUGAAUGGUUAGUACAAUUGUGCAAAGAUAUGAAAAUUCCUGUCAAAUGUCCAAUCCAGGUUUACCAGGACAACAAAGCAUGUUUGGCUUUGCUGAAGUCUGAAGGUUGUAAGCAAAGCACAAAGCACUUGCAAUUAAAGUUGCAGCAUGCUAGGGAAUGUAUUCAGAAAGGACUCGUAACGGUGUCCUAUAUGCCAGGUAAUGAAAUUCCUGCUGAUGUAUUGUCCAAGAUUGUAUCAAGGGAUCAACACUGUACCUAUGUGCAGAAGUUGGGUUUGUACUGAUAUUGUGCAAACACGCUGCCCAGUGAUGUUCACAGAAAGGGGGAGGAUGUUGGUUUCUAUUUCCUUCACUGAGCAGCAACUGCAGUCACAAGACAGGUGUUUACAUUCCACAGUCUGUACUGUUGGAGUUUCUCACGGGAAAGGGAGACUGGAUGUGACGUACACUGGUUUCCUGUUUUUCACUGUGUGAUUCUCUCCAAGCUGUCGCGGAGAGAGGAUGCAUUUUUCUGCUCUUGCAGAGGCAAGAUGUCUUUCUGUAAUAUACCAGCUUUGAACUGUAAAUAAAAGCAAUAUAGAGUAUGCAGCAC